rnacentral:rRNA from 1 species
AGCGAAAAGUGAUAAAGUUAGCCACCUGGGGGAGUACGAACGCAAGUUUGAAACUCAAAGGAAUUUGACGGGGGCCCGCACGAGCGGUGGAUUAUGUGGUUUAAUUCGAUGAUACGCGAGGAACCUUACCAAGGCUUAAAUGGGAAUUGAUCGGUUUAGAAAUAGACCUUCCUUCGGGCAAUUUUCAAGGUGCUGCAUGGUUGUCGUCAGCUCGUGCCGUGAGGUGUUAGGUUAAGUCCUGCAACGAGCGCAACCCCUGUCACUAGUUGCCAUCAUUCAGUUGGGGACUCUAGUGAGACUGCCUACGCAAGUAGAGAGGAAGGUGGGGAUGACGUCAAAUCAUCACGGCCCUUACGCCUUGGGCCACACACGUAAUACAAUGGCCGGUACAGAGGGCAGCUACUCAGCGAUGUGAUGCAAAUCUCGAAAGCCGGUCUCAGUUCGGAUUGGAGUCUGCAACUCGACUCUAUGAAGCUGGAAUCGCUAGUAAUCGCGCAUCAGCCAUGGCGCGGUGAAUACGUUCCCGGGCCUUGUACACACCGCCCGUCAAGCCAUGGAAGUCUGGGGUACCUGAAGUCGGUGACCGUAAAAGGAGCUGCCUAGGGUAAAACAGGUAACUAGGGCUAAGUCGUAACAAG